rnacentral:rRNA from 1 species
AUGUUUGAUGUUCUAACGUGGACCCGUAAUCCGGGUUGCGGACAGUGUCUGGUGGGUAGUUUGACUGGGGCGGUCUCCUCCUAAAGAGUAACGGAGGAGCACGAAGGUUGGCUAAUCCUGGUCGGACAUCAGGAGGUUAGUGCAAUGGCAUAAGCCAGCUUGACUGCGAGCGUGACGGCGCGAGCAGGUGCGAAAGCAGGUCAUAGUGAUCCGGUGGUUCUGAAUGGAAGGGCCAUCGCUCAACGGAUAAAAGGUACUCCGGGGAUAACAGGCUGAUACCGCCCAAGAGUUCAUAUCGACGGCGGUGUUUGGCACCUCGAUGUCGGCUCAUCACAUCCUGGGGCUGAAGUAGGUCCCAAGGGUAUGGCUGUUCGCCAUUUAAAGUGGUACGCGAGCUGGGUUUAGAACGUCGUGAGACAGUUCGGUCCCUAUCUGCCGUGGGCGCUGGAGAACUGAGGGGGGCUGCUCCUAGUACGAGAGGACCGGAGUGGACGCAUCACUGGUGUUCGGGUUGUCAUGCCAAUGGCACUGCCCGGUAGCUAAAUGCGGAAGAGAUAAGUGCUGAAAGCAUCUAAGCACGAAACUUGCCCCGAGAUGAGUUCUCCCUGAGACUUAAAGUCUCCUGAAGGAACGUUGAAGACGACGACGUUGAUAGGCCGGGUGUGUAAGCGCAGUGAUGCGUUGAGCUAACCGGUACUAAUGAACCGUGAGGCUUAACCUUACAACGCCGAAG